rnacentral:rRNA from 1 species
AUUGAACGCUGGCGGCAGGCCUAACACAUGCAAGUCGAGCGGAUGAAGGGAGCUUGCUCCUGGAUUCAGCGGCGGACGGGUGAGUAAUGCCUAGGAAUCUGCCUGGUAGUGGGGGAUAACGUCCGGAAACGGGUGCUAAUACCGCAUACGUCCUGAGGGAGAAAGUGGGGGAUCUUCGGACCUCACGCUAUCAGAUGAGCCUAGGUCGGAUUAGCUAGUUGGUGGGGUAAAGGCCUACCAAGGCGACGAUCCGUAACUGGUCUGAGAGGAUGAUCAGUCACACUGGAACUGAGGCACGGUCCAGACUCCUACGGGAGGCAGCAGUGGGGAAUAUUGGACAAUGGGCGAAAGCCUGAUCCAGCCAUGCCGCGUGUGUGAAGAAGGUCUUCGGAUUGUAAAGCACUUUAAGUUGGGAGGAAGGGCAGUAAGUUAAUACCUUGCUGUUUUGACGUUACCAACAGAAUAAGCACCGGCUAACUUCGUG